rnacentral:rRNA from 1 species
UCCUACAGCCAUGCCACCUGAAACUGCAAUCUCAUCUAAGUAGGGUCAGGCUGGGUCACUAAUUAGAUGGGAAUCUUCUAGGGGAAACCCAAGUUGCUGCAGAAG